CAAGAUGAGACUGGCAGUGAUUCUGUUUCUGGCGGCCAUCUUGGCGGUUUCGGCUGUCGUUGAAGCGCGGUUGACCAGGUGUACCAAGAACAAUGAGUGCCCACCGCGCUACCAGUGUGUUAACAGGUGGUGUUCUGACAAGUGCAGAUUAAUGCGCGAAUGCCUUCCCGGCCUGGCAUGCGUGCUCGGCCGCUGCAAGGACAUCUGCGAGGGCGCCUGCGGCAUGGGUGCCAAGUGUGAUGUCAUCCUCAAUGAGGCCGUGUGCACUUGCCCCGAGGGCCAGGAGGGAGACCCGCAAGAGCUCUGUGUCGCUCACGUGGGCAAAGAAGCUUGAUGCAAAGAUUCCUAAACGCCGAUUCCUGGAUUCUCUCGCCAAAUGGAGACGCCAAGGAAAGGAUCUCAUGGCUACAAAGGAGUCAGGAAAUAUCAGUUCCUUUUGUACUUAAAAGUUGUUGUUGUUAUUGUUUUAAUCUUUGGAAUAUGUCAAAUAUAAAUCAACUUUUGUUAUUGACUUUGAUAAA
rnacentral:lncRNA from 1 species